CGGGGCGUAGUUCAGUUGGCUAGAACGCUUGCAUGGGGUGCAAGAGGUCGCAGGUUCGAGUCCUGUCGCCCCGACCA
rnacentral:tRNA from 1 species